rnacentral:tRNA from 1 species
UGUAUUUAAGUAUAAGAUGUAUAUGGGUUUUUGAUACCUAAGGAGUAGUUUAAUUCUAUAAAGUACAA